GCCGGCGUAGCUCAACCUGGCAGAGCGCGGGGCUCAUAAUCCCGUCGUUGUGGGUUCAAAUCCCACCGCCGGCA
rnacentral:tRNA from 1 species